GCCGGGCGUCUCGACGCGGCAGCACGUUGCGUCGGGGUAUUCAGCACGCGACUUUGGUCCCAUAAUUCAGUGUGUGCAUCCUCGAUCUCUCUUCCUGUCUCUAUCUUUUUCUCUUCAUUCAUUCCUCUGAUUAUCUAUCGCUCCUUUCUCGCCAAUUCUUGGGGAUUCUUCACGGACGUCCAUCCGGUCACCCCGCGUCGCCCUCGCCUGCUCGAGGGUUCGCGAUCGGACCCGCCCACCCGCGCGCGAGUGACUUUCCCCUACCCCCUCCGACGCCGAUUGCUCCUCUCCUUCCCUCCCUCCCUCGAUCGCGCAGGAAAACAGCGUCGCGACGCGUGCAGUCGCGUCCGCCGAAGUCCCGAAUCUGGGAGCGCUUUUCGGGACCGGCGAGAGAAGGCCGUUUACAAGGGCUCGGCACGGGCUGAUUUUCUCGGCGGUUCCUUUUUUUCUUUCUAUCCCAUUGUUCCCCGUUCUGCACCCCGUUCGCGCACGGCGGGACCUGUCAUGGGGGAGGAUCUGCCCUCCGGAGACGCCCGGCACGGUUAGUUCCAGGUGAAACCGAAGGUGCGCCAGGUAUCGGCGCCACCGCCGGAGGAUUGCGAGUGACGUUUACAACGUUCCGACGAAUUUCGGCGAAAGCCUCGCCGAUCGACGGCGAUCGGUCGUGCGUUUGCGUCGAGCAGUAGUCACAAUAUUCACGAAGGGUGACACGUCGCGCGUUCCCUCCCAGCGCCGGGACGGCCCGUAAGGGCGCCGAUCGUGACGGUGGAGGGUGCUACGCACCCCAGUGGUCCAGUGUGCGAUCCAUCCGAUCUCGACUGUGACGAUUAUCGUGAUCAUCGUGAUUCAUGCUAAUCGCUAAAAAGUGUCGUGCCGGAUUAUUUUAUUGCAUCGAUAGUCUUUGACAGUGAUUUACGGAAGAAGGAUUACGAGGAAAGAGUCAUAAGUGACGUGUAGUGACGUUUUGUGGACCGAUCGAGAGUAUUUUGGAAGUGACUGGUUAUGGCCGUGACGAGAUCGAUCUCGAUCUUCCGGAUGGAUGGUGGCGGUAGCGAGGACAUUAGGGGUUCGCGGAGGUGCAAUCCACGGGCGGGGGUGAGAUUCGGCGAUCGCCGAGCGUCUAGGGGAUCGUCCGGUGUUGAAGGUGGAUCGGUUAUGGCGACGCGCGGUGGUUCCGGCAAAUUUCUUCUGGUUGGCGCUGUUCUGGCCAUACAGUUUGUUGGCGCGGCGGCGAUAUCCAGCAAGGCCACGAGCAGCGACAUCAGAGUGGAAUUCAAGAUGCCAACAGAGGCCGUGGUGGGUACCUCGGUCGAUCUCAAGUGCGAGUGGCGAAUACUGGGUGUGAGCAAUCUCUAUUCGGUCAAAUGGUACAAGGAUGAUCACGAGUUCUUCCGAUAUGUGCCGGACAACAACCCGAAAACUCAGAUGUUUCCUCGACUCGGCGUGAAAGUCGAGAAGAGAUCGAGCAGCGAGAAAUCGAGCAACCAGAAAUCGAUACGGUUGAAGGACCUCGUCCUGGAGAGCUCAGGACAGUACAAAUGCGAAGUCUCCACCGAGGCGCCGUUCUUCGCUACCACUUUCCAGACGGCCAAUCUGACGGUAAUUUCGCUUCCGGAGAGGGGACCGGAAAUCACGGGCCUGUCCUCGCACUACGCCGUCGGCGAGAACGUGACUGCCAACUGCACCUCCUGGCCGUCCGUGCCUAAGGCCAAUCUACGUUGGACCAUCAACGGCGAACCGGUGCCACACGAGUACACUGUCCAGUAUCCUCCGCUGGCGCCCAUGAGUACCGGGGGCAUCCCGAACAGUCUAGGAUUGCGAUUGGAGGUCGAGCCGCGGCAUUUUGUGGGCGGCGGCCUGGUCAACAUCAAAUGCAUCGCGCAGGUGGGCUCGCGGAGCUACAACGAGGAGCGUAGGGUGCUGAUGGCGUACGUGAACAACCAAAGGCUCAGCGCCGGCGAUCACAUGCACGCGGCUGCACGCAGCAUCCGCUCAGGCCUCCUCGCACCGUUGCUCACGGCGAUUCUCGCGCUCAUCCUGCUCACGACGUGACCUACCGGCCUCCUAGCUCGCGGACAUCCUGUGCGGUCUUUGUGACUCGCCCUCGUGUUACUGGCUGAUGUCGUGCGAAUUUAAAGGGCCCAACAGGGGAAAGCGACCCGUUGAUGUACGGAGAACGACGACGCUUCUUGAUGCCCCGCACUGCUCUACAGGGAAAUCAAGACGGACCACGACUUAUCCUUCUUCCCCUGCAGCUACGCACCGACGUAACAGUGCUUGAUGUGCCGUGAACCCGGAGACAAGAUCGAUUUGGGAGCAAGUUGCAGAGUUCUCCGAACCUGAGGGCAUCCUAAUUAAGUUUCCAUCCUAAUGAAAGUGUUUCGCCGCAAAGUCUGCCGACGAAGUGCCGUUCAACCGUGCUCGAGACCCCUCCGGACAGUGCAAAUCUUUCCUUAGGACUUCUUGGAACUUGGAACGAGACGUCCGCGAAAACGAUUAAAUCCAGUCACUUACUCAAGCGAAACAUCAAAGCCGACCGAUCUCAAUCUCGCCCUACAUCAUCUCUUUUUAUUUAAAUUAAAUUCUCCAUUAUCUUGGAGAUAUCUAAAUCGCUUAUUUAAAUUACUUAUAUCAAGAAGCUCGGAAUUGAAUUGAUAUAUAAUACUGUUAUUUCGAGUCGCUUUCCAUGCUAAAUGCAAGAGAUAAUGUUAUACGGAUCUCUCAUGCACGAAAAUGUGGGUAUAAUUUGCGUUCGGAAGCGAGCGUAAUAUGAUUUCCAUCUCCUUAGAGAGGUAUAUUGUAUCCAAUAUGUAUUACAAUGAAUGAGUAUA
rnacentral:misc_RNA from 1 species